rnacentral:rRNA from 1 species
GGAGGGACCUGCGUCCCAUCAGCUAGUUGGUGAGGUAACGGCUCACCAAGGCGACGACGGGUAGGGGACCUGAGAGGGUGGCCCCCCACAAUGGAACUGAAACACGGUCCAUACACCUACGGGUGGCAGCAGUAGGGAAUAUUGCACAAUGGGCGAAAGCCUGAUGCAGCAACGCCGCGUGCGCGAUGAAGGCCUUCGGGUCGUAAAGCGCUUUUCUGAGAGACGAGACAGGACGGUAUCUCAGGAAUAAGUCUCGGCUAACUACGUGCCAGCAGCCGCGGUAAAACGUAGGAGGCGAGCGUUAUCCGGAUUCACUGGGCGUAAAGCGCGUGCAGGCGGUUCGGUAAGUUGGGCGUGAAAUCUCUU